UACGUAGGGGGCAAGCGUUGUCCGGAAUCAUUGGGCGUAAAGAGCGCGUAGGCGGCCAGAUAAGUCCGGUGUGAAAGUCAAAGGCUCAACCUUUGAAUGCCGCUGGAAACUGUCUGGCUAGAGUCCGGGAGGGGCGAGUGGAAUUCCCGGUGUAGCGGUGAAAUGCGCAGAUAUCAGGAGGAACACCAAUGGCGAAGGCAGCUCGCUGGAACGGUACUGACGCUGAGGAGCGAAAGCGUGGGGAGCGAACAGG
rnacentral:rRNA from 1 species